GAUGAACGCUGGCGGCGUGCCUAAUACAUGCAAGUCGAGCGAACAGACGAGGAGCUUGCUCCUCUGACGUUAGCGGCGGACGGGUGAGUAACACGUGGAUAACCUACCUAUAAGACUGGGAUAACUUCGGGAAACCGGAGCUAAUACCGGAUAAUAUAUUGAACCGCAUGGUUCAAUAGUGAAAGACGGUUUUGCUGUCACUUAUAGAUGGAUCCGCGCCGCAUUAGCUAGUUGGUAAGGUAACGGCUUACCAAGGCAACGAUGCGUAGCCGACCUGAGGGGGUGAUCGGCCACACUGGAACUGAGACACGGUCCAGACUCCUACGGGAGGCAGCAGUAGGGAAUCUUCCGCAAUGGGCGAAAGCCUGACGGAGCAACGCCGCGUGAGUGAUGAAGGUCUUCGGAUCGUAAAACUCUGUUAUUAGGGAAGAACAAAUGUGUAAGUAACUAUGCACGUCUUGACGGUACCUAAUCAGAAAGCCACGGCUAACCACGUG
rnacentral:rRNA from 1 species